AAUGAACGCUGGCGGCGCGCCUAAUACAUGCAAGUCGAGCGAGAAGACGUAGCAAUACGUUUGUAAAGCGGCGAACGGGUGAGGAAUACAUGGGUAACCUACCCUCGAGUGGGGAAUAACUAGCCGAAAGGUUAGCUAAUACCGCGUACGCUUCUUGGACUUCGGUUCAGGGAGGAAAGCGAUACCGUGGGUAUCGCGCUCUUGGAUGGGCUCAUGUCCUAUCAGCUUGUUGGGAGGUAACGGCUCACCAAGGCUUCGACGGGUAGCUGGUCUGAGAGGACGAUCAGCCACACUGGCACUGCGACACGGGCCAGACUCCUACGGGAGGCAGCAGUAAGGAAUAUUGCGCAAUGGGCGAAAAGCCUGACGCAGCGACGCCGCGUGGGGGAGUGAAGGUC
rnacentral:rRNA from 1 species